CAGAUACUGAUUGUCAAGAAACAAGGUUACUAUAGUGACCAUCUUGCCUUGUUUCAGAGUUCAGGCUUUUGAUACCAGCACGAAAGAAAAAAAACAUGGCGACAAGAACACUAAUUUGCACUGAAAUAAGGAGUGUAUUAGCCUUCGACAACAAACAAUGCUGUCCUUCAGACAGAAUAGAGACUACAGACUAGUAAUUUUCUGACACUAUAAACACUAUCAAGCACAGGAUGGCCACAGAACAGGCACAUCUCUGAUCUCUCUUCCUCUGACUGUGAGAAAGAACAGUCACUAUGACACUUGAACCUACCACCACUCUAGGCCCAAUUGGGCCCAGUGUCAGGCCCCUGAUGGGCCCAUGGCCCUGGAGUGCUACAUUGUCAGUCCCUCCAGCACACGAGCAUGGUGACGCAGCAGCGCACGAUGUAGAACCUUGCCCUCUGCUCCUUCACCAGGCUCGCCAGCCGGCCCGGCACCGACCGGGCUGCCGGGCCUCUCGACGUCCGGGCCUUGAGGCUCGCCACCGGGCUCCCCUCGCCCGCCACAGCCGACGAUCUCCGGCUUCCCUUCUUGAACAGCAUCUUGCUCUUGUCAUCCAUGUACAUCUCCAUCUCUCUAGCUAGCUCUCUCUAGGAAUCAAAAUCCAGUGGCAAAUGGGAAAUGAGAAGUAGCUAGCUCUAUGGAGGAGGAGUUGUUGUUGCAAACUUGCAAUGUGCAGCAGGUAUCUUGCUCGUGGUUGGUGAUUGCAGAUGGAUGGAAAGAGUGGUGAGGCCUGGGUGGUAUUUAUAGGCCCGCCCCCUGAUGGGAUUCCAAUCCAAUCCAAGUUAGAGCUCCCGUGUUAUGC
rnacentral:lncRNA from 1 species